ACAAGGCAAAUGAGGAAAUUUCAUACGUAAAUGGAUAAUUUGCGUCUAAAUAUUUCAUUGAUGUUAACACCUUAGAGAUUUUUGGUUGAU